rnacentral:rRNA from 1 species
GACGAACGCUGGCGGCGUGCCUAAUACAUGCAAGUAGAGCGCUGAAGAGAGGAGCUUGCUCUUCUUGGAUGAGUUGCGAACGGGUGAGUAACGCGUAGGUAACCUGCCUUGUAGCGGGGGAUAACUAUUGGAAACGAUAGCUAAUACCGCAUAACAAUAGGUGACACAUGUCAUUUAUUUGAAAGGGGCAAUUGCUCCACUACAAGAUGGACCUGCGUUGUAUUAGCUAGUAGGUGAGGUAACGGCUCACCUAGGCGACGAUACAUAGCCGACCUGAGAGGGUGAUCGGCCACACUGGGACUGAGACACGGCCCAGACUCCUACGGGAGGCAGCAGUAGGGAAUCUUCGGCAAUGGGGGCAACCCUGACCGAGCAACGCCGCGUGAGUGAAGAAGGUUUUCGGAUCGUAAAGCUCUGUUGUAAGUCAAGAACGAGUGUGAGAGUGGAAAGUUCACACUGUGACGGUAGCUUACCAGAAAGGGACGGCUAACUACGUGCCAGCAGCCGCGGUAAUACGUAGGUCCCGAGCGUUGUCCGGAUUUAUUGGGCGUAAAGCGAGCGCAGGCGGUUUGAUAAGUCUGAAGUUAAAGGCUGUGGCUCAACCAUAGUUCGCUUUGGAAACUGUCAAACUUGAGUGCAGAAGGGGAGAGUGGAAUUCCAUGUGUAGCGGUGAAAUGCGUAGAUAUAUGGAGGAACACCGGUGGCGAAAGCGGCUCUCUGGUCUGUAACUGACGCUGAGGCUCGAAAGCGUGGGGAGCGAACAGG